GACGAACGCUGGCGGCGUGCUUAACACAUGCAAGUCGAACGGAAAGGCCCUGCUUUUGUGGGGUGCUCGAGUGGCGAACGGGUGAGUAACACGUGAGUAACCUGCCCUUGACUUUGGGAUAUCUUCAGGAAACUGGGGCUAUACCGGAUAGGAGCUCCUGCUGCAUGGUGGGGGUUGGAAAGUUUCGGCGGUUGGGGAUGGACUCGCGGCUUAUCAGCUUGUUGGUGGGGUAGUGGCUUACCAAGGCUUUGACGGGUAGCCGGCCUGAGAGGGUGACCGGCCACAUUGGGACUGAGAUACGGCCCAGACUCCUACGGGAGGCAGCAGUGGGGAAUAUUGCACAAUGGGCGGAAGCCUGAUGCAGCAACGCCGCGUGCGGGAUGACGGCCUUCGGGUUGUAAACCGCUUUCGCCUGUGACGAAGCGUGAGUGACGGUAAUGGGUAAAGAAGCACCGGCUAACUACGUG
rnacentral:rRNA from 1 species